GAUGAACGCUGGCGGCGUGCCUAAUACAUGCAAGUCGAGCGAACAGACGAGGAGCUUGCUCCUCUGACGUUAGCGGCGGACGGGUGAGUAACACGUGGAUAACCUACCUAUAAGACUGGGAUAACUUCGGGAAACCGGAGCUAAUACCGGAUAAUAUAUUGAACCGCAUGGUUCAAUAGUGAAAGACGGUUUUGCUGUCACUUAUAGAUGGUUCCGCGCCGCAUUAGCUAGUUGGUAAGGUAACGGCUUACCAAGGCAACGAUGCGUAGCCGACCUGAGAGGGUGAUCGGCCACACUGGAACUGAGACACGGUCCAGGCUCCUACGGGAGGCAGCAGUAGGGAAUCUUCCGCAAUGGGCGAAAGCUUGACGGAGCAACGCCGCGUGGGUGAUGGAGGGCUUCGGAUCGUAAAACUCUGUUAUUAGGGAAGAACAAAUGUGUAAGUAACUAUGCACGUCUUGACGGUACCUAAUCAGAAAGCCACGGCUAACUACGUG
rnacentral:rRNA from 1 species